GACGAACGCUGGCGGCGUGCUUAACACAUGCAAGUCGAACGGAAAGGCCCUGCUUUUGUGGGGUGCUCGAGUGGCGAACGGGUGAGUAACACGUGAGUAACCUGCCCUUGACUUUGGGAUAACUUCAGGAAACUGGGGCUAAUACCGGAUAGGAGCUCCUGCUGCAUGGUGGGGGUUGGAAAGUUUCGGCGGUUGGGGAUGGACUCGCGGCUUAUCAGCUUGUUGGUGGGGUAGUGGCUUACCAAGGCUUUGACGGGUAGCCGGCCUGAGAGGGUGACCGGCCACAUUGGGACUGAGAUACGGCCCAGCCUCCUACGGGAGGCAGCAGUGGGGAAUAUUGCACAAUGGGCGGCAGCCUGAUGCAGAAACGCCGCGUGCGGGAUGACGGCCUUCGGGUUGUAAACCGCUUUCGCCUGUGACGAAGCGUGAGUGACGGUAAUGGGUAAAGAAGCCCCGGCUAACUACGUG
rnacentral:rRNA from 1 species